rnacentral:rRNA from 1 species
AACGAACGCUGGCGGCGUGCCUAACACAUGCAAGUCGAACGAGAAAGGGGCUUCGGCCCUGAGUAAAGUGGCGCACGGGUGAGUAACACGUAGGUAACCUGCCUUUAAGGCUGGGAUAACCCGUCGAAAGAUGGGCUAAUACCGGAUGAGACCACGGGUUCUUAGGGAUUUGGGGUCAAAGGUCGCCUCUGCAAGCAAGCGAUCGCUUAGAGAUGGGCCUGCGCACCAUUAGCUAGNGGUAGGUACGCUACAGCCAAGAUGUUAGCUGGUCUGAGAGGAUGAUCAGCCACACUGGAACUGAGACACGGUCCAGACUCCUACGGGAGGCAGCAGUGGGGAAUAUUGCGCAAUGGGCGAAAGCCUGACGCAGCAACGCCGCGUGAGUGAUGAAGGCC